rnacentral:rRNA from 1 species
GCAUGACGGCAGCUACACAUGCAAGUCGAGCGGUAACAGGGGUAGCUUGCUACCCGCUGACGAGCGGCGGACGGGUGAGUAAUGCAUAGGAAUCUGCCCGAUAGUGGGGGAUAACCUGGGGAAACCCAGGCUAAUACCGCAUACGUCCUACGGGAGAAAGGGGGCUUCGGCUCCCGCUAUUGGAUGAGCCUAUGUCGGAUUAGCUAGUUGGUGAGGUAAUGGCUUACCAAGGCAACGAUCCGUAGCUGGUCUGAGAGGAUGAUCAGCCACAUCGGGACUGAGACACGGCCCGAACUCCUACGGGAGGCAGCAGUGGGGAAUAUUGGACAAUGGGGGCAACCCUGAUCCAGCCAUGCCGCGUGUGUGAAGAAGGCCCUCGGGUUGUAAAGCACUUUCAGCGAGGAAGAACGCCUAUCGGUUAAUACCCGGUAGGAAAGACAUCACUCGCAGAAGAAGCACCGGCUAACUCCGUGCCAGCAGCCGCGGUAAUACGGAGGGUGCAAGCGUUAAUCGGAAUUACUGGGCGUAAAGCGCGCGUAGGUGGCUUGAUAAGCCGGUUGUGAAAGCCCCGGGCUCAACCUGGGAACGGCAUCCGGAACUGUCAGGCUAGAGUGCAGGAGAGGAAGGUAGAAUUCCCGGUGUAGCGGUGAAAUGCGUAGAGAUCGGGAGGAAUACCAGUGGCGAAGGCGGCCUUCUGGACUGACACUGACACUGAGGUGCGAAAGCGUGGGUAGCAAACAGGAUUAGAUACCC